AAGGCAGUUGAACUGAUGGGACCCCGCAUUCUUCCUAUUGAAGAACUUACCUGCUUUGGGGAUGAGUAAAACCCAUGUUCUAGCAUAAUUCAGAGACAGGGAAGAGCCUCGAGGAGAAACAAUGGACUUUCUACCUCUAAGGCAGAUUACAUCAUGCUCCAAGCCUCAGUUUCCUCAUAUGUAGAGUGGAGAUAAUGCCUGGGCAGAGGGGCAAUCUUUGGAAAUAUUCACCUAUGCAUUCUCCCUAUAUUCUUCCCUUACUCCAUGCCCAGCAGGUGGCCACUGCAGCGUUUUUCCAAGUAGAAAACAGAGAGUUGCAGGAACAGAGAACAGAACCCAAACCUACCACUAAAAUUCAGAGUUUCAAUAGCAUUUGUGCUGACAAAACAAGACAUCACAGGAUAUGAAGCUCUUUAGAAAUGCAAUUAUAACCUUAUAGCCUUGACCUUCCCUUCACCAGACACUCCCUACAGGACAAGCUUAUCUGACUAUGUGCUCACUUAGAAGCUCCAGAGCCAGAAAGCUCUCCCACCAGGAAAUUGCCUCAAGAGACAGCUGUCAAUUUCCAACCUCAAGUACGCCCACGACGGAACUCUUUCCCACCUGGAGAGCAUCUCAAGACAAUGACCACCUUAGAACCUAGUUUUGGGCCAGCUGGACCGCCUGGUGGAUAAGGCACUGAAGUGAGCCCAGUGGUCCCCCACCUGCUCACUCCCUGCCCGCCUGCUGUGCAUGCAAAGUCCCCCCUUUAAAAGUCCCUGCUUUCUGCCCCAAAACCAAAGCAGUGCCCUCAAAAAGAGAAGCCUGUACUUUUUCCCCUAAGCUAAGCUUUGGAAUAAAAAGUCACUUUUUCAUGU